rnacentral:rRNA from 1 species
GAUGAACGCUGGCGGCGUGCCUAAUACAUGCAAGUCGAGCGAACAGACGAGGAGCUUGCUCCUCUGACGUUAGCGGCGGACGGGUGAGUAACACGUGGAUAACCUACCUAUAAGACUGGGAUAACUUCGGGAAACAGGAGCUAAUACCGGAUAAUAUAUUCAACCGCAUGGUUCAAUAGUGAAAGACGGUUUUGCUGUCACUUAUAGAUGGAUCCGCGCCGCAUUAGCUAGUUGGUAAGGUAACGGCUUACCAAGGCAACGAUGCGUAGCCGACCUGAGAGGGUGAUCGGCCACACUGGAACUGAGACACGGUCCAGACUCCUACGGGAGGCAGCAGUAGGGAAUCUUCCGCAAUGGGCGAAAGCUUGACGGAGCAACGCCGCGUGAGUGAUGAAGGUCUUCGGAUCGUAAAACUCUGUUAUUAGGGAAGAACAAAUGUGUAAGUAACUAUGCACGUCUUGACGGUACCUAAUCAGAAAGCCACGGCUAACUACGUG